AUAUCAUGCUGAAAAGUCAGUUCUCAUCCGAUCAUCAAAGUCAAGCAGCAUUGGGCAUGGUCAAUACUUGGGAGGGUGACUGCAAGGGAAUAACCAUAU
rnacentral:rRNA from 1 species